rnacentral:tRNA from 1 species
UUCCUGGUGGUCCAGUGGUUAAGACUUUGAGCUCCCAAUACAGGGGGCCAGGGUUCAAUCCCUGGUCAGGGAA